rnacentral:lncRNA from 1 species
ACUUUACUUGUUGUGGUUUAACUAAAAACAUAGUUUUUUUUUUUAUUUACAAAUGAAUAUAUUUUGUAUAUUUGCUUUUUUGUUGUUGAUAUAAUUUUAAAAUUGUGUUAGGACUGUUUUUGUUAAAUAUACAUGAUAUGAAGGUCAACAACAAAUGAAAUAAUUAAUGAUAUUAGGAAAAUGAAUUCUUAUACCUGCCGUGUUCUUCUUGUUGUCAAAGAGAGAAGAGGAAAAGGAAAAUGAGAGAGGAGAGACAGUUGAGAGAAUGAGAGAGAGAUUUUUUUUUUUUGAAAGAGAGAGAAAGAGAGAGAAUGAGAGAGUAUUAAAUUAUGAAGGAGUAGUGAAUGACAAUAUAAGAGUAUUUGAAAUUUGAAAUUGAAAAUUCGCCUCCAAUUGAUUGUAGAUCUGACAUUAGAUUAUAUCUUUUUUGUACAAAAGAAAACUUUUUUCGUUUUCCGUGUCAACCAAAAUCGGAUUUAUUUAGUUGGCAUCAAAUGUAAAUGACUUUAUGAAGAGCAAAUGAACUAAACUAUUAGUUAUUUGUAGUUACAUGACAUCAUCUUAGUUAAUUGUGGUAAUUUGGUUGAAUAAAGUAAGUUAAAGACAGAUUUUACCCUUACUUUGGUGAUUUGUCAAUUAACCAGACUGGGGCAUUAAUAGGAUUUCCACAACAUCUUCUCUUCUUAUAUCAAGAGAGAUUUUUAACUGCUUAUUGACUCAAGCUAUAUAUGCAUGUAUGUUUGAAGGUG